rnacentral:rRNA from 1 species
UACAGAGGUCUCAAGCGUUGUUCGGAUUCAUUGGGCGUAAAGGGUGCGUAGGUGGUGAUGCAAGUCUGGUGUGAAAUCUCGGAGCUCAACUCCGAAAUUGCACCGGAUACUGCGUGACUCGAGGACUGUAGAGGAGAUCGGAAUUCACGGUGUAGCAGUGAAAUGCGUAGAUAUCGUGAGGAAGACCAGUUGCGAAGGCGGAUCUCUGGACAGUUCCUGACGCUGAGGCACGAAGGCCAGGGGAGCAAACGGG